AGCGUGGGUUGUCAGCACCCGGGGCAAGGCAAGUAAUUUGCGCCCCCUAACCCGGGGCAAGGCAAGUAAUUUGCGCCCCCUAACCCCUAACCUGCCGCCGCUGCCAGCUUCUUCUUGCUGCUGCCUGGUCUGGUCUGGUGUGGUUCUCUCCCGCGCUCAGCGCUGCGCUGGGCGGCCGCUGCACUGUCCCUCCCCCAGAUCGUCCCUCGCUCUCUCUCCGCACCGCACGCCUGGCACCCACCCCCUCCACAGUGGGCGGCGACCCAGCGGCUCGGAUCGGAUUCGCACAGCCAGCACUGCAGUGAGAGAGAGUGAGUGAGCCAGGUAGGGGCAGAGAGCUGCGAGUGCGAGCGCACCCCCCC
rnacentral:lncRNA from 1 species